CUACCUGCACUUUCCUUCUACUGUCACAAUAUCAAUAUACUCAGCUACAGCUUAGUCUCCCCAUUUAACAGAUAAGGCCACUGAGGCUUAGUGAGUUUCAAUGACCUGCCUGAAGUCAUGGAGCAGGGUGUGACAAAAGUGGGAAAACUGGAAUCAGAAUCACUUCACCCACCCCUAACCUCACCAGAACAGUGUUUUCAAUUCUAGCUACACAUUAAAAUCACUGGAGAGGUUUUAAAAAUACUGAAACCCAGGCUCUGUACACAGUGAUUCCAUUUAACUGGUCUGAGGUGGGGCCUAGGCACUGGUAUGUUUUAAAGGUUUUCUUGGUAUUUUUUUUUUCCAGUUACUUUCUUUAAAAAAUUUUUUUUUAACUUUUCAUUUGAAAUAAUUUCAGACUUCCAAAAAAAGAUGUGAAAUAGUACAAAGCAGUCCUGUGUAUCCUUCCCCCGGUUUUUCCAAAUGUUAACAUCUUACAUAACCACAGCGCAGCUAUCAAAGCCAGGAUAUUAACAUUGAUACAAUACCAUUCACUAAUCCACAGACCUUAUUCAAACGGUAUCAAUGGAGCUUGGUGGAUAGUUCUAAAUCAUUCUGGAGACCUCAUUAUUUUUAGUUAUUCCAUCCCUUUAGUGUACUUGAAUCUUUCCUAGGUGAUCUUAAUGUGCAGCCAGGGCUGAGAACUGCUGGGUGUGGACGGUGGAGCCUGGAGUUAGUAUUCUACGAGUAGACUUAAUUGGCUUUACGGUGCAUUUUUUUCUCCCCGUUCUCUGACAUGUAAGAGCUAUGUCUGAAAAUCUAGUAUAUUUCUAAGCUAUUGUUAUGCUGCUGAUGGGAUGAAUCAUUUGAAGAUUUCUGACUAUUUUUAUGAAGUGACAGUUAUAUCUGCUGGGAGGAGAAAUGAGCCCUAGUUAUAUUCAUAGCAAGGUUACUGCCACCUAGGUGAAAAAUGGAAAAUGGUGUAUUGGGGAGGGAAGAGUUGAAGAGCUUUCAAAUAUGAACUCACAAGUCAGUGGGCUAGGUCUUCGCAGAACUCAAUGCCAUUCUUUGGAUGUGAGUCUGGAAUACAGUUUAGAUUUUAAUUAGAGAUGUGCUGGACCUUAAUGUAAAUGUAUUUAGAUAGGGAAGCCAAAGACACUAAACUGAAAACCUUGCAUUUCCUACAGAUGGUUUAUUAAAUUGAAAUAUGUCUCUUAACCUCUGGUCUUGACCCUGCUGUUGCAAAGAUGAGUCAUUGAAACAUCAGCCUGUCUGUUAUCCUGAAUGACUGGCUGGAGUGGCCCGGCUGGAGGCACCACUUGGUAACACAUGAAACUGGUUAGUUCAUGAGGAUUUUUACUUUUAUUUUCGCCUACAGUCAAACUACCUUUAUCCAAUUAGAAUUUUCACCCUCAUCUAUUUAUUAUCUCCUGCUCUGGGUAAAAACAAACCUGAGUGUCUCUGCCGUGUGCAAAUUAGCCUGGCUCUGAGGGCCGCAGGGCUGAAUAGAAACUAUCCUCGAGUGAAUAAAAAUGUUAUUAAAUUUAAAACCACAGCCCCCAUCACCAGCACUGGAUUCCUUUAUGCCACAGAUGUUGACUGUUUGCAAGUGUUUCCUCUGUGAGGCACUGGCUUGGAAGCAUUUGAACCUAAUAGCAUUAUAUGUGUGUUUAUAUCAGAAAUCAUAUGCACAGAUACAUUGCCAGCCUUCAAAUUCAUAGAGAAAACAAUUGGCUCCCGUGGUGUUAGGUAGCAGCCAGGGCUGUGGCCUUGUGGGUCCCAGCACAGGAGACUCUUUCAUAACCCCCUGGGCUUUGGAACAUGCUGCUGCCUCUGCCAAGUACACCCUUGUCUCCCACCACCCCUCUUUUCCUGGCUCACUGCUGCCACCUCCUCUUGGAAGCCUUCCUUGAUUUCCUCCCCCAACCUGAGUUAGAAGUCUUUUCCAUAUAUUUGCACAAUACUCAGUGCUUCUAUGUGCUGCAGUAAAAGUAAUUGUUUAUUUGUCUGAUUUCUUCACAUGCUAGCACCUAGCCCAGUGCCUGCCACAUAGAAAGUGCCUAUGAUAAUGUGUGUGUGUGAAUAAAUGAAUGAUAAAUGA
ensembl:lncRNA novel transcript